CGCCGUCGUCCGUCGCGUCGCUUACAUCGUUUCCAUCCGUUUCGGUCGGCCAAAGCGCUGUCCUUGACGUCACGGAUCUCUGAGCUGCGGCGGUGUCCGCGUGGUCCUAAAGUACGUCGUGUUUACCUCGCCCCCCUCCGUUGACGCUGGGCCCGAAAGAAGUGCUGCAAUAAAGUACACAUUCGAGAUCCGAUUACGCCCUCCGCCACCUGGACGUCUCCACGCCGGCGUGUCAGCGUGGUCCACGGUCAUCUGAUGGCCGCAGCUGAAACAUGCGGCGAAGCCUUUGGCCGUCAUUUCACUUCCCCCUUUACUUCCUUUGCAGAACGACCAGCCUGUGUUGUUUCAGGCUGACCGCGAGCAGCCACACACACACACACACAGGACGCGUACACACAGACAAUGGAGUAGAAGCGCUGCUCGGCCUUCUGGGUACAGGCUGCUCGUUGGGUCCUCCAGGCGUAACGCUCUUAUUUCAUCUCGUGGGAUACGGUGUCAACAAUUAUCCAAAAGGCAGCACACUGUAGGGUUUGUAGAGCAUGUAAGAUGCCUUUAUUCUACAUGGCACAUUGAUUCUACCUCCUUCAGCUCAUGGGUGGAGGUCUGGAUCGUGGUCCAUGCCUACCACCAACUAUUCAUACACUCUGUUCACUUUUUUCCCCAUGAAAGUUUUUUCCUGUUUUUUGGGGAGUUUUUUCCUGAUCCGAUGUGAGGUCAAAUGUCAGGGAUGUCGUAUGUGUACGGACUGUAAAGCCCUCUUUAGGGAAUUUGUAAUUUGUGAUAUCGGGCUGUAUAAAAUAAACUGAAUUGAAUCUAAAAUGA